rnacentral:rRNA from 1 species
GACGUAGGGCGCGAGCGUUGUCCGGAUUUAUUGGGCGUAAAGAGCUCGUAGGCGGCUUGUCGCGUCGUCCGUGAAAACCUGCGGCUCAACUGCAGGCUGGCGGUCGAUACGGGCAGACUAGAGUUCGGUAGGGGAGUCUGGAAUUCCUGGUGUAGCGGUGAAAUGCGCAGAUAUCAGGAAGAACACCUAUGGCGAAGGCAGCACUCUGGGUCGGUACUGACGCUGAGACGCGAAAGCGUGGGGAGCGAACAGG